GAUGAACGCUAGCGAUAGGCCUAACACAUGCAAGUCGAGGGGCAUCACAUGAGGCAGCAAUGCCGAUGGUGGCGACCGGCGCACGGGUGAGUAACACGUAUGCAACCUGCCUUCAACAAGGGGAUAACCCGUUGAAAAACGGACUAAUACCCUAUAAUACAGGGGUCCCGCAUGGGGAUAUUUGUUAAAGAUUGAUCGGUUGAAGAUGGGCAUGCGUUCCAUUAGCUGGUUGGUGAGGUAACGGCUCACCAAGGCAACGAUGGAUAGGGGAACUGAGAGGUUUAUCCCCCACACUGGUACUGAGACACGGACCAGACUCCUACGGGAGGCAGCAGUGAGGAAUAUUGGUCAAUGGACGCAAGUCUGAACCAGCCACGUCGCGUGAAGGAAGACGGCCCUACGGGUUGUAAACUUCUUUUGUAAGGGAAUAAAGUGUAGUACGCGUACUAUUUUGCAUGUACCUUACGAAUAAGGAUCGGCUAACUCCGUGCCAGCAGCCGCGGU
rnacentral:rRNA from 1 species